GUCUUCAUAGUGUCUACAUGUCAUGCCCAUGUCCUCUCAUGAGUUUCCUGUGUCUUUUCCCUUUCCUCUCCCUCAUUCCCUGACCCACAGACUAACACCUAUCUACUCUUUCUCCAUCAGACUGUGAGUGCAACGGUCACUCAAAUCGCUGCAGUUACAUUGAUUUCAUCAACAUUGUGACUUGUGUGAGCUGCAAACACAACACUAGAGGGCAGAACUGUCAGCACUGCCGCCUCGGAUACUUCCGGAAUGCUUCCGCUGAGCUGGACGAUGAGAAUGUUUGCAUAGAAUGUAACUGUAAUCAGCUGGGCUCUCUACACGCCCGGUGCAAUGACACAGGCUUCUGCCAGUGUAGAGAGGGCACCACGGGCCAGAAGUGUGAGGACUGCCUGUCUGGAUAUACCUGGAAGCAAGGAUGCAUGCCAAACGUGUGCGAUGACGAGUUCCUCCUGUGUCAGAACGGUGGCUCCUGUAUCCAGAACCAGAAGUGCAUGUGUCCACCCAGCUUUAGGGGUGUUUUGUGCGAGCAGCCACGCUGCCAGGGUGAGAAAGGGUGCGAUGGCGCAUCAGCCUGCUACCUCAGCACACUGACGCUGCUGCUCUGCCUUCUAGCCAACAGCCUGCUUAAAGCCAGCGCCUAGAAACCCAUCUUAGUUCUGAUAUCAAUUCUAGUCUACGCAGGCCAAAGGGCUGAUCCCUGCGAACGGAGAGAGAGUGGCCUGAACCCAUACAGGCCCAGCCUCACGGUGCCGAAAUCUUUUUUGGAAAUGACGGUGGCUGCGCUGAGGUCAGAACGCCUUCAUGAGACCAGCAGUUUAUUGCUUGUCUACUAGCAUCACUGAUCGCCUGAACUUUAUACCAAAAACAGAUUCAAAAGAACUUAAGUUCAGUUUCAACUCACUCUAAAGAAAGUGGAGAAAUAUAUAGAUGUGUUUUCCUUUCCUUUGCAUUUCUACAUUUCUCUGUAGUUUUGAAGCUCACUGAGGUACAAGCACUGCAUUUAGCCAGCUUGUUUUACAUACAACAAACAGUCGAUAUCACGGAAGCCUACUUAUGCCAAGUUAUUCUUCUCUUGAAGACUUGUUUUUACAUUUCAUUGCUGCAUUGUUCUUGCAUCUUAUUUCUAUUGAGGUUGUAACAAGUAAAUGAAAACCAUUGGAAAAGAUGUUUAAUUGCUGUCCCGCUUGUAUGAAGAAUGAACGUCUCUAGCUUGUGUUUGAAAUUACGUUUAUGGAAUGUAGAAAGAGGUUUUAAAUUGUCACACUGAACAAAUAUACAUAUAUUGGUCUAUCUGAAAGGAAAUAUGAAGUAUUGUAUAUUUCGAUUAUUUCGAUAUUUUUUUGUAGAAAUGGUUAUUUUUGUUGAGUAAAUGUUACCAUUGUAAAGACAUUGCAGCCUUUAUUGCAGUUCAUAUGGUAUUCACACCAUGGUAAAACUAUUUGAUCCAGCAGAGUGCAUCUCUAUUAUAUUUGGAAUAUUUCUCCAUCCAUAUCAU